AUUGAACGCUGGCGGCAGGCCUAACACAUGCAAGUCGAGCGGAUGAAGGGAGCUUGCUCCUGGAUUCAGCGGCGGACGGGUGAGUAAUGCCUAGGAAUCUGCCUGGUAGUGGGGGAUAACGUCCGGAAACGGGCGCUAAUACCGCAUACGUCCUGAGGGAGAAAGUGGGGGAUCUUCGGACCUCACGCUAUCAGAUGAGCCUAGGUCGGAUUAGCUAGUUGGUGGGGUAAAGGCCUACCAAGGCGACGAUCCGUAACUGGUCUGAGAGGAUGAUCAGUCACACUGGAACUGAGACACGGUCCAGACUCCUACGGGAAGCAGCAGUGGGGAAUAUUGGACCAUGGGCCGAAGCCUGAUCCCGCCAUGCCGCGUGUGUGAAGAAGGUCUUCGGAUUGUAAAGCACUUUAAGUUGGGAGGAAGGGCAGUAAGUUAAUACCUUGCUGUUUUGACGUUACCAACAGAAUAAGCACCGGCUAACUUCGUG
rnacentral:rRNA from 1 species